ACUGCUACACCACCGGGCCAGCCCAUAUAUAAGCUACUUUUUAAAUUUAUGAUGUCAUGAACAUCGUUCCACAUCACAGCUGUGGGGUGUUGACCCAAUAAUCCCACCUCUCUGAACCUCCCUGUCCUCAUCUGUAGAAUGGGGAUGCACUGUGAGAACGACUUACCAGAAUGGGGGCCAGCGCCUGGCACGGAGAACACCCUCAGCAGAGGGCCACAGCUAUAGCUAAAGUCCUUGUUACCAUCUCUGUGUCCUGGUUUUCAAAUGGCUUUUAGUGGCCAGCCCUCAUAUGGAGGCACCAUACAUUAUUCAAUUUGUCCCUAUUCAUGGACUUUUAGGUGGUUUCUGAAUUUCCACCGUCAUAAAUGUCCCUGCCAUUAACACAACCAUUAAGAGUUCCCCUGACAACUUGGGAAACCAGUGAAAGAGAACAAGCUACGCCACCUGUCUGAACCUGAGGCUGUGGAACACGAGAGGCACAUCAUUCUCUUCACGGCCCAGUUUUAGAAACAUUUCUAAACGCUCAGCCCACCCUCCCUGCCCCCGCAAGUCCUGUCAAGGGGCUAACCGUGGGGCUCCUGGGCUAAACCCUGGAUAAUUUUUCCUGCUUUCAUAUCAAGCCCAAACCCCCAGCUUCCUGCCUUGAGACCACCCCAGGAGUAUACUCGAACACCUGCGACAUGCCCCUUCUAUUCUUUUCUAUUUGUUUUUAAGUUAUGUACGGAUGUGCAAUAUUUGUUGUAUACAAGGUGUGUGUAAACAUAUUUGUACAGUUUAAAGAGCAACAGUAAAAUGAAUUCUCCUGUAUCUACCACCCAGAGCAAGACACAGAACCUUCGAUACCCUGGAGCGCCCACACCCACGCCUGCUCUCCUGCGGGGAGCUUUCCCGGAGGGUACGGGUCGGAAGGGGAGGGUCGGCUGGAAACAGCGGCGGUCAACAAACCAGAUUCCACCGGCGCCCUUGCUUGUCCCCAGCGGCUCUGUGGCCUUGGGCAUGUUAGUCAACUCUGAGAGCGUCUGUUGAUAAAGCUUGAGUCUGGUGUCUGGCACCAAGUCGCUGCCACAGCACAAAAGCUGCUGUUUUCAUCAUGGGGAUCGUUUCUGGACAGGGCAUGCAGAAGCACGCUCGCCCGGCUCUGCCAGUCCUUAGCACUGUGGUUCCAGGCAGGGCAAGUCCCAGGCCUCAGUUUCUCAGCUGGGAAGUAGAGAGGAGAGGCUCCCUAGAAACUCUCAAAUUUCCUUUCUUUCUGGCUCUGGCCUUUUGUAAUUCUACCAAUUAUUAAGCCAAGGAAAAUGGGGUAUGUUGAAGCAAGAACUUAACACGAGGGCUCAGUAGACAGUGCCCUUAGCUGGACUCCAGAAAAAGACGAUGUCACUGGCCCAAGGUCACGUGGUCAGGAGGUAAUAAUCUGGUUAAUAAUGACAAUAUUCUAGGCACUUAUUCUGGGCUCCCUGUGUUAAAGGCUGCACAUGGAUUGUUUUAUUUUACUCCGAAGACAAGACUCUCUGAUGGAUGCUAUUCUUCGAUGCCUAUUUUACAGAUGUGAAGACUGAGGCUCAGAAAGGCUGUAUGGCUUGUCUGCAGUCAUAGAGCCCCUGGUCUUUUCGAGUGGUGAGCCUGUGCUCUAACCAGCACGUCUCACUUAGGGAUCUGGUUAACAUGCAGAUUCUGAUUCAGCAAGUCAGGGGUGGGCCUGAGACCCUGCGUUUCUAAGACAUCCCCAGGUGACGCUCAUGCUGUUGGUCUUCUCACCACACUGUGAGUAGCCAGGCUGAAGCUCUGCACCGCCAUCCCAGCGCCAGGUGGAGGAGGGGCCGGGUCUUCCCACUCCUUUGUCUCAGUGAGCAUAAACCUCAUUUUUGGGGAUCUGCCUCCGCUUGGUUACCCGCGGAAACCAGGUGAAGGAGGGAAGAGGCCUUGGGGAUAUACACACAGGUGGUAAAACCUAAGAAGCAGACCAAAACUAUGAGUAACCAAGUCUAGGGGCCUCGUCCUCCACCCGUCCUGGCCCAGCACCCGCCCAUCCGCAGCAUCAAGCCCGGAGCACGGCCUUGGUGCCGUCCGGGGAGCGAAGGGGAGUCUUCUCAGGCCACAGGCUACUGCGGAAGUCUUUGCCCAAAAUGAGCUCUGCUUGCAUUUCCAGAUGGUUCCCGGGGCCCCUCGGCCCCCACAGCAUGAUAACCCGGCACGACUUUUCUAUCCAGGGUCCUGGCUCCACAAUGAAAUAGUGGCAGCAAUUCUGUCCUUUUGAGUCCUCAGAGGGAAACAGCUAAACAAGAGAAACACGUCUUUUACAAAACUGUGGUGCGCUGUUAUGCAAACAUAAACUCCCCGAAGUCUGCUUUUCUGGGAAUUGCAUCAGAGGAGGAAAGGAAAGAGGAGGAACAGAAAACCUCAUCUUGCCCCGAUGCUGCUGAUGCUGCUUCGCAAUAUUCUGUGCAAUGCGGAGCUGAGGAGUGGGCCUCGUGGAACGGAACAGGAGGGCAGGAAAGAGGAAUGGCCCAACGCCAAACCAGCCCUAACGGAAGAGGGGUUUACAGUCUGCACGAGAGCUUGUCUGAUGAGUAGGAAAAAGAUCUAAUCAAAGUCCUUACUGCUCCAGAUGGGUGAUGAGGCAUUGAAAUCCAGCUGCAGAGACUCGUAAUGAAUGGGCCCCAUCAUUUGCAUUUAGUUAGGGAAGACUCCCUCCUCCCUCCCCGACUUCCCACUGCACUGGGGGUGCUGACUCUGCCUGUGAGCCGACCCCAAGGAAGGUCCUUCAAUGAACUCGAUUUGCUCCUGAGACAAGUGCCCCAGAAGCAGGUACUCUAACCCCGUCCUGGAGACCCCGGGUCUUCUGGGUGGUGUGGCACCUGUAAGAGGAGGAAGGAGGGAGACCUGGGGUCCGCCUGUAGAAAUCACGCUGCCUCCAUUUCUGCCCAGCUACCUGGGGCCCUCCCGCACAUGGACCCCUUGGCGUGUAAAAAUAAACGUAUCAACAAAAUCUGGUUCAGUUCCCUCCUAAACACCAACUGAAUUAUUCGUACAAGAUUCGCCGUUUAACUGAUGCUGGCAGAAUGUUGCGUGAUUUCAACAUCAAACACAUCGCGCUUCAGUCACAGCGGCCCUGAGGAACAAAGACAGAAAAGCGUGUGGCACGCGUUAGAGACAUCAAACUGCGGCUUCGGGAAGUGGUGGCUGUCGUUCAAGCAAAGCAAGAGGUGGGACUCAGCGCUUUAAGGACUGCAAACCCACUGUUCUGAGUUGGUUUUCUUUCAACACGGUGUAGAUGAAUCCUUUUCUUUUGAUCAAGGCUUGACUGCUUUCCUGUAAUUUGGAUGAAGCAGGGAAACCAGCAGUUUUUAAUGGGAAGCCCAAGGAAAGCCUUCUAUCUGGGCCGCGUGAUGGAUUCUGAAUGGCACCAGGCUGCUGGUGGGAAAGCUGCACUGGGAGGCUGCCUCCACCCCACCCUUCAUUGGGCCAGCUCGGGGCAGCCCACACCCAACAUUAUUCUGGGCUCCAGGCCUCUCAAAGCCUCCUUUCCCUCUCUUCUACCAAUAACCUGUCCUCUCGUCCUGUAGGCCCUGCCUCUGUCUCUCCAGGCUGUGUGCCGCCACUCACGGCCACUCCACAAAGUGGGCCCACAAGCCAACAUCUCAAGCUGGGUGUCAGCAGCGGCCCCUGGUUGGUCUUCAGCCUCCAGCCUUGCCUCCCUCCGGCCUCUCCACCCACAGGGAGCCUCCUAAAGUGCACAUCUGCUCCUGGGCUUCUGUGCUUGAGCCCCCAGCGCUCCCUCUGCUCCUCAGGAUGAAGCCUUUCUCCUUGGCAUAGCCUUGGGCCCUCCACUGCUUCCCACCCUCCACCACACCGCCCCCCGCCUCCAGCCUCCUGUCUCCCCUUCUCCACCUCUACACCCAGGCAAACUCAACCACCUGCUCUGCCUCAAACACCGAGACGUCUGCAAAUGCCCUUCCCUCCUCCUGGAAAGGACUUCUUCAUUCCAGUCCCUCUCACCUUCCUAGACCCUCUUUCCACUGAACCAAUUUUCCCUCCUCUGUCUAGACUUGGCUUAGACGCCCCCUCCUCCGACUAGCCUUCUCUGACCCCUCGCACCUGGGUGAGCUGCUCUUCCCACCAACCUCUGCUACCCAGUCCGAGCCCCCCACACCAGUCGGGUGUGCUGGCUUCUGUGUCCACCCCACACCAGACAGGCUCCUUGUCUUUCCUUUAACUGGCAGUGUUUCACAGAGCUCCUGCUGUGGAACACAGGCUCCAUAAAUGUGUGCAGGACAGAUGAAUGAAUGAAUGAACGAAUGGAUGCUUGUUGGGCCUCUAGUCCAUUGCUGAAAUGGGGUUCUACAUCAGAGCUGUGUGCAGUGUGGUCCACCCAGUGGGUACCAGUUGGCAACAAAUUAAGUGUAGAAAUUGAGAGUAAGUGUUUUAAAACCUUUAUAACAAUUCAGCUGAGUACUUUGAUGUUGGCUCCGUCUAAUAAUAAAGAUG